UCUUCCCUGGCCCCAGCCCCCAACUCUUCAGCCCAAGCUAUUCUUAGAACCCAGAUAAUGCCAGCAGUUGCUGCUGUUCAUAUCAGCUUCCAGAGCCACCGGGUCCUGAGAGGCUCAGUGCUGCCCCCACCCCCAGAACGCUGGCCUCUCUGCAAGGUAUGGGCGUCCUGCUCGCUCUAUCCACCGUAUCCCGCAGGCCACUGCAGAUAAUUGUAUAGUUACAAUAAUUUAUAAGAAAUAAUACAGGACUUCCCUGGUGGCACAGUGGUUAAGAAUCCACCUGCCAAUGCAGGGGACACGGGUUCAAGCCCUGGUCCGGGAAGAUCCCAAAUGCUGCGGAGCCACAAAGGCCAUGCACCACAACUACUGAGCCUGUGCUCUAGAGCCUGAGAGCCACAGCUACUGAGCCCACGCGCCACAACUACUGAAGCCCGUGCGCUUAGAGCCUGUGCUCCGCAACAAGAGAGGCCACCACAACGAGAAGCCCACACACCACAACAGAAGAGUAGCCCCCGCUCGCCGCAGCUAGAGAAAGCCUGCGCACCGCAAUGAAGACCCAAUGCAGCCAAAAAUAACUAAAUAAAAUAAAUUUAUAACAACAAAAGAAAAUGUAAA